rnacentral:rRNA from 1 species
GGCGGACGGGUGAGUAAUGCCUAGGAAUCUGCCUGGUAGUGGGGGAUAACGCUCGGAAACGGACGCUAAUACCGCAUACGUCCUACGGGAGAAAGCAGGGGACCUUCGGGCCUUGCGCUAUCAGAUGAGCCUAGGUCGGAUUAGCUAGUUGGUGAGGUAAUGGCUCACCAAGGCGACGAUCCGUAACUGGUCUGAGAGGAUGAUCAGUCACACUGGAACUGAGACACGGUCCAGACUCCUACGGGAGGCAGCAGUGGGGAAUAUUGGACAAUGGGCGAAAGCCUGAUCCAGCCAUGCCGCGUGUGUGAAGAAGGUCUUCGGAUUGUAAAGCACUUUAAGUUGGGAGGAAGGGCAGUUACCUAAUACGUAUCUGUUUUGACGUUACCGACAGAAUAAGCACCGGCUAACUCUGUGCCAGCAGCCGCGGUAAUACAGAGGGUGCAAGCGUUAAUCGGAAUUACUGGGCGUAAAGCGCGCGUAGGUGGUUCGUUAAGUUGGAUGUGAAAUCCCCGGGCUCAACCUGGGAACU